rnacentral:rRNA from 1 species
GAUGAACGCUGGCGGUAUGCCUAACACAUGCAAGUCGUACGAGAGUUUUUAACUCUAGUGGCGGACGGGUGAGUAACACGUGAGAAUUUGCCUUUAGGAGGGGGACAACAAUUGGAAACGAAUGCUAAUACCCCAUAUGCUUUCGAGUGAAAUGGAUUUUAUCCGCCUAGAGAGAAGCUCGCGGCUGAUUAGCUUGUUGGUAAGGUAAGAGCUUACCAAGGCGACGAUCAGUAUCUGGUUUGAGAGGACGAUCAGACACACUGGAACUGAGACACGGUCCAGACUCCUACGGGAGGCAGCAGUGGGGAAUUUUCCGCAAUGGGCGAAAGCCUGACGGAGCAAUACCGCGUGAGGAAGAAUGCCUAUGGGUUGUAAACCUCUUUUUUCAGGGGUAGGAAUAAAAUGACGUGUACCUGAAGAAUAAGCAUCGGCUAACUCCGUG